rnacentral:tRNA from 1 species
GCCGGAUUCGUAUAAUGGCAUUACGCUUUCUUCGUACGGAAGAUACAUCGGUUCGAUUCCGUUAUCCGGCUC